UGGUUAUGAGUACGCGCGCGUGUGAUCCGGCAAAAAAGAAAUUACUAUAAAAGCAAGCUUAACAAAAAAACAACACAAAUCUAAAACACUUCUCUCUCUAAGUUAAACUUAGAGAGAGAAGCUCUCUCCUCCCUCAAGAACAACACGGCCGGAGAAGAUGAAGAGGGGCGGCCGGAGCUGCUCCGGCGCGGUGGUCGGCCGGAGCGCCGCCGCGCCGGAGUUUUUUUUUUUGCUUUUUUUCGAAAAAUUUUUACAUCAAAUCACUCCUCUUCCCUUCCUCUACUCGAAUCCGGACUCAUAAUUUCGAAAACAUGCGCCGAAAAUCCUAGAUCUACAAAUGAAGGUGUGAAAAUUUUUUUACCUCUUUUUCCGGUCUCCUUCUCUCCUUUGAAUCCGGUUCGCCUCUCUUUUCUCCUUUUCGAUCCGGUUCCGUUUCUUUCCGUUCUGGUUCGGUCCGGUUCCGUUUCUUUCCGUUCUGGUUCGGUCCGGUUCGGUUUUGGCUUGUUUAUGCUUGUUUGUGAUUUGUGUGGUUAUAUGAAUGGAUUUGAGGUUUUGGCAAAGUUUUGGUGUUGCUGGAUUUUUCCUAUGAACCCAUGAAUGUUCUUCUUAAACUCAUGCUAUUUUCUUUGUAAUUUUUGUGCUUGAUUUGAAAAAGGGUUGGAAAAGUAGAAAAUUAGGGUUUGUGAAUUGAUGCUGAUUUUUUCUGACGUGAACAGUGAUUUUCGGCCCAUUUCCCAAUGAUUGGACAGUGUAUUUAUAGUGACAAAAUAGGGUUGGCUCUGGUACAGAUCAAAGACCAAAAUACCCCUGUUGGUGACUUGGGGACAAAGACUUAACAAAUAAAAUAAAAUAAAAAAAAAAUAAAGAAAAAGGAAAAGAAAAGAUGGAAGAAAGAAAGAAAGUCACGUGACUUUCCUUUCUUUGUUUGUUUUUUCUUCCUUUUUUUUUUAAAAAUAAUAAAAUAAAGAAAAAAAUAAUAAUAAAUAAAAAAACAAAUAAAAUAAAAAUAAAAUAUUAAUUAAAUAAAAAGGUCUCUUCGAAAUUUGACAUGAGGUACUUCAAAGUAUCCUCCCUGCCGAAAUUUUGAUUGAAAUGAUUAAAAAGACACGCCUUUUAAAAAUACAAUUAGACAUUUUAAAAUGACUUGCCUGUUAUGACAUAAAAAGAUUAUAAAAUGCGUUAUAAAAAUGCAAAUGGAGUGAUUUUAAAUGUUGUAAAAAAUGCAAGCGAGGACUUAAAUGCAAAAUGAAAGUUUUUAAAUGAUUAAUGACGAAAAACACGAGUUUUAAAAGGUAAAAAAACGAAUAAAAGAGAAUCUGGACUAUUAUAAAAUGUGGACAAAAAAGAUUUCAAAUGGUCCAAAUUUGGGGUAUGACAACCAGAAAACCUCUUCAAAAUCCUGGAUCUCCCUGUGCUCUUCGUACGGCCUCCAUCAUACGUCAUCAAACUGUAUACGAUCAAGUAGUGACUGAUACGUGACCCCCUCUCCGUGACCUUUCUGAAGCUUCCACCUCGCUGCAACCGGAUAGUUUUCCAUGUAAUCAGUGUUGGGAUCAACACUGUAAAAGCCAGGAAAAUGCGCCAAAAACCAUGCAUGCACAAACCAAACAAAUCACAUUUAUAAAUUAUUACGCACCAAAAAUAUAAAAAAAAAAAAAAAAAGGUUAAGGUUCACAUUUAUAAGUUUCUUACAGUCAGCAGUGUCAUGCUUCCCCCAAGAGCUCUGUCUCCAGGCCUACACGCCUCAGCUAACUCGUCGUAUAGGUAUGCGAGUGUCAUCCCUCCCUAGGAAUAAUUACGCAUCCCCGCGUAGCCAUCCUCCAUGGUCGUCAGAUAGACCAACUCGAUGCGUUUGUUGCUUCUAUCACCAAACAAUAAGCAUCCUACAAGAUAUAAUAGAUAGGACUUCACACAAAAUGUCCUAACCCUCUGCAGCUCCUCCAUCUCCUAUGCAUCUUCCGCAUCCUCCAAGACGUUAGCCCUACCAAGGUACCUCGUAUAUAGCUCCCCCAGCUUCGGGUAACUAAUGUACCCGCCGUACUCCGUACAACAAAUUUUCUCCGCCUCCUGCUGCGACCCACCCAAGUGCCUCAUCAAUAGUGCCGCUCCCUCAUGUUUCGGCAUCUUCCCAUGGCUCAACAUCCGCCCCUCAAUCUGAAGAUGCGUCAGACAUGCGACAUCAUCCAAGGUCACAGUCAUCUCCCCCAAGGGCAUGUGAAAAGUGCUGGUGUCGGGAUGCCACCUCUCGCAUAGAGUCAUCAGCAGGAUGAAGCACAGUGGCGUAGCCCAGGUAAACCAAAUCAUGUAACCCGCUCUCCCUAAGCGGAUCCCAAAACCAAUUCUGAUUCCCGUUUGGGCGUCCGAGACUCAAGACUUUAGCUCCAUGAUUAAUCGGUUUUACCACACGUAGCUUACGAACCUGAAAUAUUAGAAAAAUAAACAUAGUUUAAACAAUUUAUACAUUAAACAAUGUAAACAUUUAACUAAACAAAAUUAAACUUAACAAAUGCAAAAAUAAAACAUAACACAUGUAAACCUUAAAACUUAAAUAAAACACAUAACAAAAUAAAUUUAAAUCAUAAUUAAACAUAAAGAAAACAAUAAAAGUUGAAAUAAAUAAAAUAUAAAGAAAAUAAUUAAACGUAAAGAAAAGAAUUAAAAAAAACACAUAGAAAAGUGGAUAUAAUAAUUAAACAAACACACAUAUAAAUAAAAUAAUUAAACAUAAAGAAAAAACAUUUAAAAAAAUUACACUUACGUUAUCUGAAUUAUACCAAAGCGGCAACGCCACAUGAUUGGCGUAAGAGUGCAGCAAAGAUAGGCCGUCCGGUCCUCAAGGAAAGGGAGGGUCCACAGGUAACACCUCCGGGGCAGCAGCUGCUGCAAUGUCAUCAUCAUCUUCUACAUGUUGUUGUUGUGGUAUAUGAUCCUGGUCAUACCCACCAUCUGUAACAUCGUGGUGUACCUGAUCCUGAUAAUUCAGGUACUCCACCUGCUGGCUCGGGUCAACUACCUAUGACUCUUUAGGCUGUGUAAUAUGAGAAGCCUCCUGCGAACUCCCUGAACCAUCCACCCUCCGACCUCUACCCCUCUUUGGGAUGUGGCCGCUUUGACUCUCCCUCCGGUGGCUCUGAGUCAUCGCACGCCUACCCCCCAAUCAUCUUAGAUGGAUCAAUGGGGUUCUGAUCGGCCAUAUCUACACAAAAAAUUAUAAAAUUAACAUCAUUCAACUUAUACAUUCAACCACUUUAUCAAACACACUAAACCUAAACUUUCACAUUCAACCACUUUAUCAAAUAAACACAUUGAACAUAAACAUUAUCAUACACACUAUCAUUCAUAUUCAAACAUAAAUAAUUAAAUGCAUUAUCAUACACAUUCAACAUAAACAUAACCUAAACUAAACAUAAACAUUCAUCUUCGUUGAAAAAAUCAAAACCACAUUCAACCUAAUUCAAUAUACACUUUUUCGAAUUACAAUCAAUAUCAUAUCCAUAACCUAAACUAACUAAAUAAUCAAUAAAAUUGUCAUUGAGGCAUUUUAUCAAACACUUUGUGUGCAAAGUAUCAAACAUACUCAAAAUGUGUUCUUUUGCCACCAUUGAAAACCACAUUAUACUCUAACAUCAUUCAAUCAUCAAUUAAAGUAACUACAUUCAAUUAUAAACUACAUGCAAUCAUCAAAAAUUCAAUUCCUACAUCAACCCUAACCACAUGAAAACUACCAUUUUUUUUUUAAAAAAAAACUACACAAACUAACAUUAUGAUUAAAAAUGAGUCAAGAUACUUACUUGUGAUUAAAUGGAGAUGAUGCACUUGAUUUUGCUCAAAAAUUGAAAUGGGAGAAGUUGUUUGGUUUUGGAAAGUUUUUGAACUCUAAAAUUUCGACAGUUAACUGCCGAGGGACAUUUAGAUAAAUUACCCGUGUGUCUCAGCCAAACCUAAUGUGUCAACGGCGAUUCUCAAAGAGCAAAUAUAAAAUGAGGGUAGCGAACGGCGGUAAGUGAAAAAUUAGGGUAGCGAGAAAGCGGCAAUGACGAUUGAGAGAAGAAAGCGUUUGAAGCUGCAAGAACAAAGGAACUAACGUGUGGAUAGUAAUAGCGAAUCUGAAUCAAAAGGGGUUUAAUCAUUCCCAUGAUGUUCUCUUUUCAUAAUAGUUUUCAAUCUGAAUCACGUUCCUCUUCUUGUUGCUCGCGUUUUCUUCUCACUCUCACACACAACCCUUUCAUUUCGCGAUGACCCUUUGAGCCUCGUGAUGAUAACCUGAAGGUUCUAUUUUUCGUAAUUUUGUGUUAUUUGAAUCAGAAAAUUAUUUGAUUAUUAUCUGUUUAUGUUCUAAAACAAAGGGGUUCUUUUUGUUGUUUGAAAUUUGUACAUAUUUUCAUUAUUUUGAUUAGUGUAUACUACCUUGGUCUCAAAUAUAUGCAGAGAAGAAAAAGUUUAACAAAGUUGAUGUAUAUAGUUAAAAAAUUGAUCAGAUGCAUAGCACAUGCACUCCUCAGAUUAGGUGUGUCCAGGUGUCCGACAUGUGUUGUGUUUGACACGACACCAACACUACACUUGUAAUUACAUUAAAUUAUGUAAUUUUCUCAAAUUAUUAAUGGUGUCAUUGGCUGUGUCCGGUGUCCGUGUCCGUAUCCGUGCUUCAUAUGAUACAUCAAACUUGUUUGAUUUUCAAUUGUGAGGUAGCCUAAGUGGGAAUCUUCUUCCCAAUUGUUACUUCAUUGUGACUUGUGAGGUAGCCUCAGAUGUGUAGUCUAAAGUUUUGAGGUUGAUUGUAUCAAUUUUAUUACACCUAAUUUAUUUGCGCAUUUUACGUGUUUGAGUGGUGAAUAGAGAAGUAAGAAAAUCCGAAAAGGUUUUUGGUUUAUUUGGCAUUCCCCAAUUUUUGAAGAGAUUAAGCUUGUGUCUUGGAGUUGGAGUUUAAGUAGGCUGAAGAUUCCUACAUGUAUUUUUUUUCCCGAAUGAAGUUGGGAUCCUGCAGAUUGUUUGAAUAUGGGGUGAUGUGCUUCUGCUGGUAGUUGAGCGAAUGCUGCUCUGCUGUUGUGGUGCGUUCUUUUCGAUGGCAAUGUUUCUUUUUGUUGGGGUCUCUUUAGCAUUUAGGGGUUUAUCUGUUGAUGUGUUGUUUUGGCUCGGGUGGGGCUGCUGUUGUGCCUGUCAGUUGGUUUUGCGGCUAGCAGCUAGGCUCUUUGUUUUGUUCUUCUCUUUAAGGGCUGUUACUUUGUGUGUUAAAGGGGUUUUACCUCACUUUGUAAUUUUGUCGCGCACCUAGCUUGUCUUGUGCUUGGUUUUGCGCCUUUCAUAAAGUUUAGCUGUUUCAAGAAAAAAACUUGGUUUUGCGCCUUUUAGCUUCCGG
rnacentral:lncRNA from 1 species